UAAGGAAUAUUGGUCAAUGGAGGGAACUCUGAACCAGCCAUGCCGCGUGAAGGAUGACGGCCCUCUGGGUUGUAAACUUCUUUUGGAUGGGGCGAAAAAACGGGAUUUAUCCUGGACUGACGGUACCAUCAGAAUAAGCACCGGCUAACUCCGUGCCAGCAGCCGCGGUAAUACGGAGGGUGCAAGCGUUAUCCGGAAUCACUGGGUUUAAAGGGUGCGUAGGCGGUUGUAUAAGUCAGGGGUGAAAGCACGCAGCUUAACUGUGUAAUUGCCUUUGAUACUGUACGGCUUGGAAUAGGGGUUGAGGUUGGCGGAAGUGUGACAUGUAGCGGUGAAAUGCAUAGAUAUGUCAUAGAACACCGAUUGCGAAGGCAGCUGACUGGGCCUAUAUUGACGCUGAGG
rnacentral:rRNA from 1 species